AGUUUGAUCCUGGCUCAGGAUGAACGCUAGCUACAGGCUUAACACAUGCAAGUCGAGGGGCAGCAUUGAAGUAGCAAUACUUCAGAUGGCGACCGGCGCACGGGUGAGUAACACGUAUCCAACCUGCCGCUUACUCGGGGAUAGCCUUUCGAAAGAAAGAUUAAUACCCGAUGGUAUAAAGAGUUCGCAUGNUCUCUUUAUUAAAGAAUUUCGGUAAGCGAUGGGGAUGCGUUCCAUUAGAUAGUUGGCGGGGUAACGGCCCACCAAGUCUACGAUGGAUAGGGGUUCUGAGAGGAAGGUCCCCCACAUUGGAACUGAGACACGGUCCAAAUCCUACGGGAGGCAGCAGUGAGGAAUAUUGGUCAAUGGACGAGAGUCUGAACCAGCCAAGUAGCGUGAAGGAUGACUGCCCUAUGGGUUGUAAACUUCUUUUAUAAGGGAAUAAAGUGAGGGACGUGUCCCUUUUUGUAUGUACCUUAUGAAUAAGGAUCGGCUAACUCCGUGCCAGCAGCCGCGGUAAUACGGAGGAUCCAAGCGUUAUCCGGAUUUAUUGGGUUUAAAGGGAGCGUAGGUUGACAUAUAAGUCAGCUGUGAAAGUUUACGGCUCAACCGUGAAAUUGCAGUUGAUACUGUAUGUCUUGAGUGUGCAAGAGGUGGGCGGAAUUCGUGGUGUAGCGGUGAAAUGCUUAGAUAUCACGAAGAACUCCAAUUGCGAAGGCAGCUCACUGGGGUACAACUGACACUGAGGCUCGAAAGUGUGGGUAUCAAACAGGAUUAGAUACCCUGGUAGUCCACACAGUAAACGAUGAAUACUCGCUGUUUGCGAUAUACAGUAAGCGGCCAAGCGAAAGCAUUAAGUAUUCCACCUGGGGAGUACGCCGGCAACGGUGAAACUCAAAGGAAUUGACGGGGGCCCGCACAAGCGGAGGAACAUGUGGUUUAAUUCGAUGAUACGCGAGGAACCUUACCCGGGCUUGAAUUGCAGAGGAACAUAGUUGAAAGAUUAUGGCCGCAAGGUCUCUGUGAAGGUGCUGCAUGGUUGUCGUCAGCUCGUGCCGUGAGGUGUCGGCUUAAGUGCCAUAACGAGCGCAACCCUUAUCAUUAGUUACUAACAGGUCAUGCUGAGGACUCUAGUGAGACUGCCGUCGUAAG
rnacentral:rRNA from 1 species